rnacentral:rRNA from 1 species
UGAGGAAUAUUGGUCAAUGGACGAAAGUCUGAACCAGCCAUGCCGCGUGAAGGAAUAAGGCCCUAUGGGUCGUAAACUUCUUUUGUAUGUGAGCAAUAAGGUCCACGUGUGGACCGAUGAGAGUAGUAUACGAAUAAGCAUCGGCUAACUCCGUGCCAGCAGCCGCGGUAAUACGUAGGGGGCAAGCGUUAUCCGGAAUUAUUGGGCGUAAAGAGUGCGUAGGUGGUUACCUAAGCAGGGGGUGAAAGGCAAUGGCUUAACCAUUGUUAGCCCCCUGAACUGGGCUACUUGAGUGCAGGAGAGGAAAGCGGAAUUCCUAGUGUAGCGGUGAAAUGCGUAGAUAUUAGGAGGAACACCAGUGGCGAAGGCGGCUUUCUGGACUGUUACCGACACUGAGGCACGAAAGUGUGGGGAGCAAACAGGAUUAGAUACCCUGGUAGU